UCAGUUUGCUUGCAAACUGGAGAUGGCGACCGGCGCACGGGUGAGUAACACGUAUCCAACCUGCCGACAACUCGGGGAUAGCCUUUCGAAAGAAAGGUUAAUACCCGAUAGUAUAAUGAAACCGCAUGGUCUUAUUAUUAAAGAAUUUCGGUUAUCGAUGGGGAUGCGUUCCAUUAGGCAGUUGGUGAGGUAACGGCUCACCAAACCUUCGAUGGAUAGGGGUUCUGAGAGGAAGGUCCCCCACAUUGGAACUGAGACACGGUCCAAACUCCUACGGGAGGCAGCAGUGAGGAAUAUUGGUCAAUGGGCGCAGGCCUGAACCAGCCAAGUAGCGUGAAGGAUGACUGCCCUAUGGGUUGUAAACUUCUUUUAUAUGGGAAUAAAGUUUUCCACGUGUGGAAUUUUGUAUGUACCAUAUGAAUAAGGAUCGGCUAACUCCGUGCCAGCAGCCGCGGUAAUACGGAGGAUCCGAGCGUUAUCCGGAUUUAUUGGGUUUAAAGGGAGCGUAGGUGGACAGUUAAGUCAGUUGUGAAAGUUUGCGGCUCAACCGUAAAAUUGCAGUUGAUACUGGCUGUCUUGAGUACAGUAGAGGUGGGCGGAAUUCGUGGUGUAGCGGUGAAAUGCUUAGAUAUCACGA
rnacentral:rRNA from 1 species